UUGCUUUGGCAACAGACAUCCUAAAAUUGAAAUGACACCAAGAAGAUUGGCAUUGCCCCUGCACAAAGAUGACACACAAGUUUGUAAAGAACAAAAAAUGGUG
rnacentral:snRNA from 1 species